rnacentral:rRNA from 1 species
GAAACCAACAGGGAUUGCCCCAGUAACGGCGAGUGAAGCGGCAACAGCUCAAAUUUGAAAUCUGGCGCAAGCCCGAGUUGUAAUUUGCAGAGGAUGCUUCAGGGCAGCGACCGGUCUAAGUUCCUUGGAACAGGACGUCGUAGAGGGUGAGAAUCCCGUAUGCGACCGGUUGGCACCCGUCACGUAGCUCCUUCGACGAGUCGAGUUGUUUGGGAAUGCAGCUCUAAAUGGGAGGUAAAUUUCUUCUAAAGCUAAAUACCGGCCAGAGACCGAUAGCGCACAAGUAGAGUGAUCGAAAGAUGAAAAGCACUUUGGAAAGAGAGUUAAAAAGCACGUGAAAUUGUUGAAAGGGAAGCGCAUGCAACCAGACUUGUCGGCGGUGUUCCGCCGGUCUUCUGACCGGUCCACUCGCCGCCGGCAGGCCAGCAUCAUCUGGGCGCGCCGGACAAAGGCGCGGGGAAUGUAGCUCCUCGGAGUGUUAUAGCCCCGCGCACAAUACGGCGCCGCUCGGGUGAGGUCCGCGCUUCGGCUAGGAUGCUGGCGUAAUGGUUGUCUGCGGCCCGUCUUGAAACACGGACCAAGGAGUCUAACAUCUAUGCGAGUGUUCGGGUGUCAAACCCCUACGCGGAAUGAAAGUGAACGGAGGUGGGAAGCGCAAGCUGCACCAUCGACCGAUCCUGAUGUCUUCGGAUGGAUUUGAGUAAGAGCAUAGCUGUUGGGACCCGAAAGAUGGUGAACUAUGCCUGAAUAGGGUGAAGCCAGAGGAAACUCUGGUGGAGGCUCGCAGCGGUUCUGACGUGCAAAUCGAUCGUCAAAUUUGGGUAUAGGGGCGAAAGACUAAUCGA